CCCUCCACCAGGAUGCCCUGAUGUACAGGAGCAAAGGACCUGAUUAAAUAUCACUAACGGGUAAAGCCCCCCCUCCCACCAACUGGCCAAUGUUUUGGCUCACAAUCUCAACAUGAAACUUUACCAUAGGAACAAACAACAAUAAGCAGUAUGCAUAUCUCAGUUACAAAUUAUAGAUAUCCAUAUUUAACCCUUAGUUUGUUGAAAAAUUACCAAAAAAGCAAUUAAAAAUGUGCAGUCAAGCUAAACACUGUACUGUGUAGCAAGGUCACCAUGACUAAAGUAUAGCAAUACUUGUAGCAAUAUGAUGCAGGGGGGGUUUUCAGAAGUUUCAGGCUUGGCAAACUUUAACUACUGAAAUAACAAUGGCAUAGAAGGGGGUACUUGGGGCUAGACUCCCAUAACUCAGGUGAUUUUUAGUAAACUAAAACUUAGGCCUGUCAGGCUACUAUGCCUGCCUUGAGUCUAAUACAAUUUCUAUUUAUUCUUCUGAGAAAUAUUCACAGGAACCCUUAUCCCACUCAGCCUUAUACCAAAUCUUAAUUACACUGAGGAGUCUUCACUGGGACAUCCCAUUCAAAGUGGUAUAUAAACUCCAGCUAUUUAUAUUAAAGUAAUGUCAUAACACAGAAAGGAACUAAACACAUGGAGAUAGAUACUCAUGAAUUUAAUAGUAUCUCCAGCACAGCUGCUUCCUACUACAUUAGCCCUAUGACAGUUGAAGCCCAAGAAGUAGCAACCUCCAUUCCAGAAGGGCUGAGCAGCAGCCUUAGAGAAAGCAAGAUGGAGGGGGGAAUGAGGAAGCCUAAAAAGGAUUAGCUCAACAUACCUCACCAGGAGAGGAGAAAAGAUAAUAGCUGUACCGCCUUUUGCAGCCAUCAAACUUCCAAGACUUCCUAGUUGCUGGCUAGAAGCCUGCCACCUUUGGUACAAAGGGUCUGGAAAGUAUCUAAGGGAAGAAGAUCCAGACAUAUGCUCACCUGACAAGAAGAGACAUACCCAGAAACAAAGCUGAAAAUGCCAAAACGGCUCUGAGGACCCAGACAAGUAUUGUCAACAAGGAACUGAUUGAGCUACUAACCCAUGAUGCCAGAAACCCUGUGAGGGGUUUGUGAGCUGCAUCUAGGAGCUGCAAGAGAGUGUUCUCAUGAGAAGAUUGGGAGAAUGACUUUUCUGCAUGACUGAGAGAGGAUUCUCCUGACUCAAUUUCCCCACUAUGACACCUGGCAGACUUUAAGCCUGGCUCAAUGCAGUUGGCUAUUAAAUACCUUCUGCCUGUAAUUGACAUGAAGGAUGCCCAGCCUUCUUCCUAAUUCAACAAUGGCUUCAUGGAAUUCAUGAUAUUGAUAUAGAUAACAGGAACCAGCAAAGACUUCAGGAAAAAGUAGUCAAGCCACUUCAUUUCCAUUCCCUCAUCUGCAAAAACUUGGAACCUUAGGAAUUAUCCAAGACAAUACUUCACUUUAUAGAGAUGAGGAAAGUGAGCACAGCUCUUCCAGCCCAAGGAGAAGGUGGAUCCAGGUUUCAGACCUGGGUCUGUUUCCUCAUUUGGGAAAGGAAGAGAUCAGAGUAAAUAACUGUGAAGGUCUGUUCCAGCUCUAACUCCUAUUAUCAAGAGCCACACCAAUGAGGAAACUGAAGCUCAAAGUCACAGUUCACAAGUGGGAGACAAAUGGCUGAGGUUUCCAGUCUCAAUCCAAGUGACCACUCCUUUCCCCACCCCAUUUCCUCAACUGCAUGCUCUCCUGCUUAAGACAUUUCAACAGCUUUGAACUGAAGCAAUACAAGGAUCUAAGACAUCUCCAAAGGCCC